UACGGGGGGGGCAAGCGUUGUUCGGAAUUACUGGGCGUAAAGGGCUCGUAGGCGGCCAACUAAGUCAUACGUGAAAGCCCUCGGCUCAACCGAGGAAUUGCGCCCUAAACUGCUGUGCUUGAGGAACCUAGAGGUGAGCGGAACUGAUGGUGGAGCGGUGAAAUGCGUUGAUAUCAUCAGGAACACCGGAGGCGAAGGCGGCUCACUGGGGGUUAUCUGACGCUGAGGAACGAAAGCCAGGGGAGCGAACGGG
rnacentral:rRNA from 1 species